rnacentral:rRNA from 1 species
GGGUCAGUAGGUUGGUCGUGCCACCGGUACGUACUGGUCUCACUGAUUCCUCCUCCCUGAAGAACCGUAAUGCCAUUAAUUUGGUGUUGCGGGGAAACAGGACUGUUACUUUGAAAAAAUUAGAGUGUUUAAAGCAAGCUAACGCUUGAAUACAUUAGCAUGGAAUAAUGAAAUAGGAGGAUCGAUCCUAUUUUGUUGGUUUCUAGGAUUGACGUA